UACGUAGGGUGCGAGCGUUAAUCGGAAUUACUGGGCGUAAAGCGUGCGCAGGCGGUUUCACAAGCUUGAUGUGAAAGCCCCGGGCUUAACCUGGGAAUGGCAUUGAGGACUGUGGAGCUCGAGUGCGGCAGAGGGAGGUGGAAUUCCACGUGUAGCAGUGAAAUGCGUAGAGAUGUGGAGGAACACCGAUGGCGAAGGCAGCCUCCUGGGUCGACACUGACGCUCAUGCACGAAAGCGUGGGGAGCAAACAGG
rnacentral:rRNA from 1 species